rnacentral:rRNA from 1 species
UAGAGUUUGAUCCUGGCUCAGGACUAACGCUGGCGGCGUGCCUAAUACAUGCAAGUCGAACGGUCGUGCGUUUGUAGCAAUAUGGACGUACGAUAGUGGCGAACGGGUGAGUAACACGUGGAAAACCUACCCUCGAGCGGGGGAUAACUCCGGGAAACUGGGGCUAAUACCGCAUGACAUCCCAACCUGGCAUCGGGAGGGGAUCAAAGCCGAAAGGCACUUGAGGAUGGUUCCGCGGCCUAUCAGCUAGUUGGCGGGGUAACGGCCCACCAAGGCGACGACGGGUAGCCGGCCUGAGAGGGCGAUCGGCCACAAGGGGACUGAGACACGGCCCCUACUCCUACGGGAGGCAGCAGUAGGGAAUUUUGCUCAAUGGGGGAAACCCUGAAGCAGCGACGCCGCGUGGGCGACGAAAUCCUUCGGGAUGUAAAGCCCUUUUAACCGGGACGAAAUACAUGACGGUACCGGUGGAAUAAGCCUCGGCUAACUCCGUGCCAGCAGCCGCGGUAAGACGGGGGAGGCAAGCGUUGUCCGGAAUCACUGGGUGUAAAGGGCGUGUAGGCGGGCCGGCUAGUCGGUUGUUAAAUCUCUCCGCUCAACGGAGAAGCUGCGGCCGAUACUUCCGGUCUUGAGUGCGGCAGGGGAGGAUGGAAUUCCUGGUGUAGCGGUGGAAUGCGCAGAUAUCCGGAGGAACACCAGUGGCGAAAGCGGCCUCCUGGACCAUUCCUGACACUCAGACGCGAAAGCUAGGGUAGCAAACAGGAUUAGAGACCCCGGUAGUCCUAGCCCUAAACGAUGUAAAAUGGGCGUCGGUGGUUAAACGCCAUCGAUGUCCANAGCUAACGCGAUAAGUCUGCCACAUGGGGAAUACGGCCGCAAGGUUAAAACUCAAAGGAAAUGACGGGUCCCCGCACAAGCAGCGGAGCGUGUGGUUUAAUUCGUUGAUACACGAAGAACCUUACCUGGGUUUGACAUAGCAGUGGUAGGGAAGCGAAAGCAGACCGACCCUUCGGGGAGCUGUUACAGGUGUUGCAUGAGCUGUCGUCAGCUCGUGUCGUGAGAUGUUCGGUUAAGUCCGCUAACGAGCGCAACCCUCGCUGUGUGUUACAAGUGUCACACGGUACUGCCGGUAUUAAGUCGGAGGAAGGUGGGGAUGACGUCAAGUCAGCAUGACCUUUAUAUCCAGGGCUACACACACGCUACAAUGGUCAGUACAAUAGGUUGCCAAGCCGCGAGGCGGAGCCAAUCCUAAAAAGCUGGCCUCAGUUCAGGUUGCAGUCUGCAACUCGACUGCAUGAAGUUGGAGUUGCU